CCGUUCUGCAGCCAUAAAUUUCCAUAUCCAACUUUGAUCGUCCUUCUUAUUUGAUUUUUUUUAUAAUUAGUAUUUUUAUUGUUAUGAGAUGAUAAAACAUGAAUAAACUUUAUACGUGACUUAUGUUUUUUAUUUUUUUAAAAUUUUUUUAAAUAAGACGGACAAUCAAAGUUGUGUACAGAAAAUUAUGACUGCACUUAAA
rfam:Oryza meridionalis cultivar OR44 (W2112) chromosome 1, whole genome shotgun sequence.